UACAGAGGUCUCAAGCGUUGUUCGGAUUCAUUGGGCGUAAAGGGUGCGUAGGCGGCGCGGUAAGUCGGGUGUGAAAUCUCGGGGCUUAACUCCGAAACUGCAUUCGAUACUGCCGUGCUUGAGGACUGGAGAGGAGACUGGAAUUUACGGUGUAGCGGUGAAAUGCGUAGAUAUCGUAAGGAAGACCCAGUGGCGAAGGCGGGUCUCUGGACAGUUC
rnacentral:rRNA from 1 species